GCGGGGGUGCCGCAGUGGUCAACCGGGCUAGGUUGAGGGCCUAGUAGCCUCGUGCUUACGCGUGUUCGAAUCACGUCCCCCGCA
rnacentral:tRNA from 1 species